UCUUCACGCAGCUGUCUAGGGUUUUUCGCCUCUCUCUUUACUCUCUCUCGAAAACCUAGCAGUCUUCUUCUUUCUCUUUUCUCAGUUCCUCCAUGGGUAAACCUAAAUCCGCCACCAAGGUUGUUACAGCUCCUGCUGCCGUUAAGGCCAGUAAGCCUUUGAAGAAAGGCAAGAGAGAGCCUGAGGAUGAUGUUGACACCAAAGUGAGCCUUAAGAAGCAGAAGAAAGACGUGAUUGCUGCUGUUAAGAAGGAAAAGUCUGAGAAGAAGGUGCCUAAGAAGGUUGAGAGCUCUGACUCCUCUGAUUCUGAAUCUGAGGAAGAGGAGAAGGCUAAGAAGGUUCCAGCCAAGAAAGCUGCUGCCAAGGCAGCUUCUAGCAGUGAUGAAUCAUCUGACGACUCUUCUUCAGAUGAUGAGCCAGCAACCAAGAAGGCUGCUGCCACUAACGGAGUUGCAAAGAAGUCUAAAGAUGACUCAUCUUCUGAUGAUGAAUCUUCAGAGGAGGAAGUUGCUGCAACAAAGAAGCCUGCUAUAGUUGCUGUGAAGGCCAAGGCAGAGAGUUCAUCUGAUGAUGAUUCAUCUUCUGAUGAAGAAUCUGCAAAGAAACCUGCUGCUAAGAGUGCCAAGCCAGCCGCUAAAGAUUCUUCAUCAUCUGAAGAAGACUCAGAUGAGGAGUCUGAGGAUGAGAAACCUGCUGCCAAGAAAGCAGCUCCUGCUGCUGCCAAGAAGGCUGAAAGCAGCUCAGGUUCAUCAGAUGAAGAUUCUGACAAGGAAAGUGAAGAUGAGUCUAGCGAAUCUGAGGAAGAUGAAAGUGAAGAUGAGAAAGAAACCCCAGCGAAAAAGAGCUCCGAUGUAGAAAUGGUUGAUGCAUCAAGUGCAAAGCAGCCAAAGACACCAUCCACUCCUGCUGCGGGAGGAUCAAAGACACUCUUUGCUGCCAAUCUCUCUUUCAAUAUUGAAAGAUCUGAUGUCGAGAAUUUCUUCAAAGAAGUUGGUGAAGUUGUUGAUGUUAGAUUUUCUACCAAUAGAGAAGAUGGUAGUUUCAGGGGAUUUGGCCAUGUUGAGUUUGCUUCUGCGGAGGAUGCACAGAAGGCAUUGGAGUUACAUGGUAGACCUUUACUCGGCCGUGAGAUUCGUCUUGAUGUUGCACAAGAGAGAGGCGAGAGACCUGCAUUCACUCCACAAAGCGGUAACUUCAAAAGUGGUGGUGGCGGUGGUGGUGAUGGUCAAACUGUUUUUGUUAAGGGAUUUGACUCUUCACAGUCUGAGGAAGAUAUCAAGCAGGCAUUGAGGGAACAUUUUGCUUCAUGUGGUGAGAUCACAAGGGUUUCUGUCCCCACAGACCGUGAAACUGGUGCUUCCAAAGGAAUUGCUUACGUUGAUUUUUCAGAAGGCAAAGAGAAGGCUUUAGAACUAAAUGGAAGUGACAUGGGAGGAUGGGGUCUUGUAGUUGAUGAGCCUAGACCAAGAGAUAACAGUGGUGGUGGAUUUGGUAGUGGUGGAAGGAGUGGAUUUGGUGGAAGGAGCAAUGGCAGAGGAAGAGAUGGUGGUCGUGGUCGUUUUGGUAACAGUGGUGGCAGAGGAAGAGAUGGUGGUCGUGGUCGUUUUGGUAACAGUGGUGGCAGAGGAAGAGAUGGUGGUCGUGGAAGACCUAGUUUUACUCCCUCAGGUAAGAAGACUACCUUCGGUGAUUUCGAGUAGAAGCUUCUGUAGAAGAAAAGGCUCUUCUUAGGCCAUCUCCACUGGCAAUCUUUAUACAGGUUACUCGAGUGGUGAUGCUCUUAUGUUGUUAACUUGUGAUACUUCGCAUCCUUUUAUCGUUUUGUUUCUUUUUUGUUCUAGUUUCUUUUCUGUCAGAACCUUAAAUUUUUGUCUGAAUGUUAAAUUAAGCUCAAUUUUGAGUGUUUUGGGUGUUAAAUCUAA